GCAAACUUGGUCAUUUAGAGGAAGUAAAAGUCGUAACAAGGUCUCCGUUGGUGAACCAGCGGAGGGAUCAUUACCGAGUUUCUACGAACUCCCAACCCCUGUGAACAUACCAUCGUUGCUUCGGCGGUUCCGUCCCGGGCGCGCACGGCGUGACCCGGAGCCAGGCGGCCGCCGGAGGACCCAAACUCUUGUCUUUAGUGGAUUUCUGAGUGGCAUAAGCAAUAAAUCAAAACUUUCAACAACGGAUCUCUUGGUUCUGGCAUCGAUGAAGAACGCAGC
rnacentral:misc_RNA from 1 species